GCCCGCGUAGUCUAGUGGUUAGGAUAGAGCCCUGUCACGGCUCAGACCCGAGUUCAAAUCUCGGCGCGGGCG
rnacentral:tRNA from 1 species